AGUCAAGAGUCCUCGUCAGGAUAACCGCUGUUUCGGCGAGCAGAUUUCUUUUGCCUAGCGAUAGGUGAAGGACAAUG
rfam:Pseudaminobacter manganicus strain JH-7 JH-7_scaffold8, whole genome shotgun sequence.